rnacentral:rRNA from 1 species
CCUACGGGAGGCAGCAGUGGGGAAUUUUGGACAAUGGGCGCAAGCCUGAUCCAGCUAUUCCGCGUGUGGGAUGACGGCCCUCGGGUUGUAAACCCCUGUAGUAGGGAACGAACAGUAGCUAUCGCAUAAAUAUCUCUGCUGACGGUACCCUCUGAAUAAGCAUCGGCUAACUCCGUGCCAGCAGCCGCGGUAAUACGGAGGAUGCGAGCGUUAUCCGGAUUUAUUGGGUGUAAAGGGUGCGUAGGUUGUUUUUUAAGUCAGCGGUGAAAGUUUGUGGCUCAACCAUAAAAUUGCCGUUGAUACUGGAAGACUUGAGUGUGAUUGAGGUAGGCGGAAUGCGUGGUGUAGCGGUGAAAUGCAUAGAUAUAACGCAGAACACCGAUUGCGAAGGCAGCUUACUAAGCCAUAACUGACACUGAAGCACGAAAGCGUGGGGAUCAAACAGGAUUAGAUACCCUAGUAGUC